rnacentral:lncRNA from 1 species
GGAAAAACGAGGUAGUUAUGUGGUGUUUUGUUUGUGAGAUGGGGAAUAGUGUCAUUUUUUUGUUACUGAUACAUUGAAUAAGGUGUUGCCGCAUUUCAUUUUGUCGAUAGACACAACUCUGAGGGUCUAUACCAUUGGCCAGGGCCGUCGCAUUGGCAAUGGCAUAAAGACCACAGUCUGAGGAGCCACUUUGUUUUUUAACUGGAACACAGUUCACUUUUACUUGAAUGAAGCCAUUCUCAGCUAGGAGAAACGAUAAAAUUCGCUCGGAAUUUUCCGGAAGUUUUGAGUACACUGAAUCAUAAUAAUUCAGGCAGCACUCUGAAUCAUUUUCAGAUGGAAUGGAACUGACAACUGCCCAAUGGUGUCUCGUGAGUUGAUAGCAAGUGGACUGUAGGCCAUUCAAGAUCACCAUCAAUUAUCAUAGGGUUUGAGGCUGAACCAGAAGUUGAUGCUUGACUGGGCAUGAGAGAAGUCGAGGUGCUUUUUUCACAAGCUGAGGCAAUGUAGUUCAUACACUCUGGAGUAACUUUAAAUUCAUUGGUUAGUGAAAGGAGGGCUGAUUUAAAACCUAGUUCUUUAUCUUGAACUAGAUUUUCGAUGUACCCU